AUUGAACGCUGGCGGCAUGCCUUACACAUGCAAGUCGAACGGCAGCAUGAUCUAGCUUGCUAGAUUGAUGGCGAGUGGCGAACGGGUGAGUAAUACAUCGGAACGUGCCCUGUAGUGGGGGAUAACUAGUCGAAAGAUUAGCUAAUACCGCAUACGACCUGAGGGUGAAAGUGGGGGACCGCAAGGCCUCAUGCUAUAGGAGCGGCCGAUGUCUGAGUAGCUAGUUGGUGAGGUAAAGGCUCACCAAGGCGACGAUUAGUAGCUGGUCUGAGAGGACGAUCAGCCACACUGGGACUGAGACACGGCCCAGACUCCUACGGGAGGCAGCAGUGGGGAAUUUUGGACAAUGGGGGCAACCCUGAUCCAGCAAUGCCGCGUGUGUGAAGAAGGCCUUCGGGUUGUAAAGCACUUUUGUCCGGAAAGAAAUCGCACUUACUAAUAUUAGGUGUGGAUGACGGUACCGGAAGAAUAAGGACCGGCCAACUACGUGCCAGCAGCCGCCGUAAUAC
rnacentral:rRNA from 1 species